CGGGCUCGAACGGCAGAUGAAUAAUGGAGAGAUUCAUUAGUCUACGGACAUCUGUCGAGGUGCUGCAUGGUUGUCGUCAGCUCGUGCCGUGAGGUGUCGGCUUAAGUGCCAUAACGAGCGCAACCCUUGCCGUCAGUUACCAGCAUGUAAAGGUGGGGACUCUGGCGGGACUGCCACCGCAAGGUGUGAGGAGGGGGGGGAUGACGUCAAAUCAGCACGGCCCUUACGUCCGGGGCGACACACGUGUUACAAUGGGCGGUACAGAGGGGAGCGACCUGGCGACAGGGAGCAAAUCUCAAAAAGCCGUUCUCAGUUCGGAUCGGAGUCUGCAACCCGACUCCGUGAAGCUGGAUUCGCUAGUAAUCGCGCAUCAGCCAUGGCGCGGUGAAUACGUUCCCGGGCC
rnacentral:rRNA from 1 species